rnacentral:rRNA from 1 species
AGCCUGAUGCAGCCAUGCCGCGUGUAUGAAGAAGGCCUUCGGGUUGUAAAGUACUUUCAGUUGUGAGGAAGGGUGUGUAGUUAAUAGCUGCACAUCUUGACGUUAGCAACAGAAGAAGCACCGGCUAACUCCGUGCCAGCAGCCGCGGUAAUACGGAGGGUGCGAGCGUUAAUCGGAAUUACUGGGCGUAAAGCGCAUGCAGGUGGUUCAUUAAGUCAGAUGUGAAAGCCCGGGGCUCAACCUCGGAACUGCAUUUGAAACUGGUGAACUAGAGUGCUGUAGAGGGGGGUAGAAUUUCAGGUGUAGCGGUGAAAUGCGUAGAGAUCUGAAGGAAUACCAGUGGCGAAGGCGGCCCCCUGGACAGACACUGACACUCAGAUGCGAAAGCGUGGGGAGCAAACAGGAUUAGAUACCCUGGUAGUCCACGCCGUAAACGAUGUCUACUUGGAGGUUGUGGCCUUGAGCCGUGGCUUUCGGAGCUAACGCGUUAAGUAGACCGC